UGGCCGUAAACAAUGUGCGUUAGGUGUGUCGGUAACCACGUGUUACUGAUGCGCCGAAGAGAAAUCGUGAAACGCACCACCUGGGAAGUACGGUCGCAAGGCUGAAACUUGAAGGAAUUUGGGCGGGGGAGCACCACAACAGGUGGAGCCUGCGGUUUAAUUGGAUUCAACGCCGGACAUCUCACCGGAUAAGACAGCUGAAUGAUUGUCAAUCUGAAGGUUUUACAUGACUAGCUGAGAGGUGGUGCAUGGCGUCAGUGACU
rnacentral:rRNA from 1 species